GGUAUGCCCUCUACAGUUUAUAGCAGUGAAUGCAGAAAUUCGAUCCAAUCACUAAAAUUGGUAGUCAUCAGAAAUAAAAAUGUUUACCUCUUUUAUUAUAUUCCCAUAUAAAUAUCCAUUUACAUAUUACAUUACGUUCUAGAACAUUUCACAAUAUGGUAUUUUAUUAAGUAAAAAUUAUAUUAUCUUUUAGUAUAAUAUAAUGGACAUAUUAUCAAUUUGUGUUCUUUUUGAUAAAAGUUUGUUCAAAUUUAUCGCAUUAUUGUUACUGUUUUACCGAUUCAGAAGAGAUAAAUUUUGCUUGGAGAAAUGUUCUAUUCAUUAAGGAAAGACAUCUGUUUAUUAAGUCAUGAAGACUAAACUUGUCAAGUCAGAUAAAAAGCAACUAAAACAUUACUUACUGUAUGAAGAAAUCUUUUAAAAGCUAAAUGGUGUCAAAGUGAUGUUGCCUUUUAAAUGAAAUUAUAUUUCGAAGAAUAAUUUUCCGCGUUCACUUGCCGAAAAAUAAAUUAUAGUAUCAAAUCAUGUACUUUCAUUACUGAACUUUUAUUUGAAACAUUUCUUCAUACAGUAAGUAAUUUUCGAGUAAUUCGAAAUUAUGAAGUUAGAUGCUUUGUCUUGUAUUUCAUGUAAUAAAUAAUUUUCAAUUUUUUACGUUGUAAAUAAAGACGAUCUGAGAGUCAAUGGAAUGUCAGUAUCAUGUCUUAAAAGAACGGUUUACUUAAGAUUUAUGAUUACUUUCAUAAGCUUGGACAUUGUGAUAAAUAUAAUAUGAUGUAAAAAAUUUUAAUCUUGAAAUUCUGAGUAAAGGUUAAUUUUGGGGUAUGUUUAUUAACCCAAUCUCUAUCAAAUCAUGAAGAGGUAGAAUCUAUUUACAACGGUGAUGUCGCAUAUUUUUUAUAUAUUCUGUAUAUACUUAUUUUGUAUAUAUAUUUAUAUAUUUUAUAUAUUUUGUUAUCUUGUUUUCUGAAAAAUGAUGAAACUAAACUAAAGGAGGAUACGUUUAUUAUCGCAAAAAGUAAUUCUAUAGAAGAAUAAUUUAUCAUAGUAAUUUACUCUGUAUGUGGUACUGAAUCGAUAAAGAAAACAGUUUGAUAUUUCUUUAUAGAUGUCAGUACUAUAGCCAUUUAAAAAGAAAUUAUAAAUUCCCACACAAGAUUAGUCUAUUAUUAGUUCAUGAUAGCGAAUGUUAAUGCUUUCGCAGCACGCUUUUUAUUCCUAUGACUUUAUGUUCAGAUAUGUUAUAUGCGAGAUGUUUCAAGUAUUCAAUGAAAGAAUAGUUAGGUAUUUUAAUCUUGUUAUAGAUAUGUAUAAUACUACUAAUGAUAAGCAGCAUUAUUAGUUUACGUUGUACGAAAUUGUCAAACGUUUACGAUCAAUCAGACAGAUUUCUGUUAAUCGAAGAUAGAUCUUAAUUUUAGCCAUCGCCAAUUUGUUUUCAAUAUACGUGAGUGAUGAAUAAAGCAAAUAUAUUAUUUUAUGCUAUUAUAAAUUUAAUAGUAUAUUACAAUAUAUAGUAUAUAUAGUAUAUUACAAUAAAUUUAAGUAGUUACGGCAGAAUUAUCGAAGUAUAUAGCUGAACAGAAUUAUGAGUGCGUUUUCUUGCGAUCGCUCGCGCGCGAAAUUCAAAUUUUGUGACAGAUGAUCACUGCAGUAACCGCGCACAAAUGAUCAGAUUUAAACGCUGACAGAUCUAUGAGCGUAAUCGUAAGACAAAGCUACUAGAAAAAGUUUUCAAGCGCUUUUAUACCUUCUUAUAGCGCGUUGAUACUCGCGCCUGCGAAGAAGCCUGAUGGCAUUUAGAGAUAAAAUAUUCUAAAUACAUACUUGUCGAUUCUUAAAAUUCAAAAUGCCUGCUGAAAUUUUGAAACAUAAAGAUUUAUAACAAAAUAUUUAAUAGAAAGUUGAGAACUGGUGAAAGGUUAAAAAUUUUUAGUAAAUUCAUGAAAGUAGCAAUUCUUAACUUUCGAUAAGACUAGAUUUUUGAUCAAAUUUUGUAAAUUGUUAAAAGAUAUAUAAUAGAGAAGAUUUAUGAUAAAAAUUCGAUGAAAGAUCUAGAGUUUGUAGUUAAUAAUAACAAAGCUUAGUGUUUACCGUUACUUAGAGAUGAAGUAAAAAAUUUCUGAGAUCGAUGUU